rnacentral:rRNA from 1 species
GAUGAACGCUGGCGGCGUGCCUAAUACAUGCAAGUCGAGCGAACGGACGAGAAGUUUGCUUCUCUGAUGUUAGCGGCGGACGGGUGAGUUACAUGUGGAUAACUCCCCUAUAAGACUGGGACCACUUCGGGAAACGGUUGCUAACACCGGCUGACUAUUUGAACCACCUGGUUCAAAUGGGAACGACGGUCUUGCUGUUACCCAUUGAUGGAUCCGCGCUGCAUUAGCUAGUUGGUAAGGUAACGGCCUACCAAGGCAACGAUGCAUAGCCGACCUGAGAGGGUGAUCGGCCACACUGGAACUGAGACACGGUCCAGACUCCUACGGGAGGCAGCAGUAGGGAAUCUUGCGCAAUGGGCGAAAGCCUGACGGAGCAACGCCGCGUGAGUGAUGAAGGUCUUCGGAUCGUAAAGCUCUGUUAUUAGGGAAGAAAAUAUGUGUAAGUAACUGUGCACAGCAUGACGGUACCUGAUCAGAAAGCCACGGCUAACUACGUG